UCAAGAAUUCAACAUCAUGGAUCUGUUGGAAAAGCUCAAGCAUUCCAUCGCUCUCACUCUUGUCCAUUUCUAUCCCCUCUCUGGCCGCCUUGCAACCUCAAAGACUGAAGACCCCGCUUCCUAUGUGGUCUACGUCGAUUGCAGUAAUAGCCCAGGAGCCAGAUUUGUCUAUGCAACUCUGGACAUGACAGUUUCCGACAUUCUUUCACCCACUUAUGUACCACUGGUGGUUCAGUCUUUUUUCGACCACGAUAAGGCUCUUAACCAUGAUGGGCAUGUCCGGUCUUUGGUUACAAUUCAAGUCACAGAACUCGUCGAUGGCGUCUUUAUUGGGUGUUCUAUGAACCAUGCUAUGGGUGAUGGAGCUUCUUUCUGGCAUUUCUUGAACACCUUGUCUGAAAUUUUUCAAGCACAGGGAGGUGAUGUUCAGAUCUCACGCCCACCUGUUCUCGAGCGCUGGUUUCCUGAUGGUUGUGGUCCGAUAAUCAGUCUUCCAUUUACCCACCAUGACCAGUUCUUAUGCCCAUUUGAGGCACCCUUGCUCAGAGAGAGGAUCUUCCACUUCUCAUCAGAAUCCAUAAAAAAACUCAAAGCAAAAGCAAAUGCAGA
rnacentral:misc_RNA from 1 species